rnacentral:lncRNA from 1 species
AAGUGGGGCUAAGGGCAGCCUGGCAUGAGCCUGCAGGUGCCCCUCAGCAUGAACGGCCUGGGUGCUCUGAAUGGUGGCCAGAAGCAGAAAGGCUCCUGGGUGGAAAGGGGCAGGUCCCCAGUGAAACCCCACCUUCAAGCCAGGGAUGACCUGAAGUCUGGGGGCCAGGCUGCCAGUUCCGUGGACUGGAAUGAGAACUUAACGGUGUUUUUUCUGGGCCUGCCCAUGGCCACCCAUGGACCAAUCAGCACAUACUUCCUCACCUCUGAAGCCUGUAACAACCCUGGACUCAGCCAGGCUACAGCAGAUAACAGGACAACCUGCCUGUAGAGAAGAGCUACCCACUGUGGGUCUCCUUUCCACUGAGGGCUGCACAGACAACAGGAUUACCUGUCUGUGCAUAGGAGCUACCUAUUCUGGGUCUCCCCUCUUCUGAGGGCUGCAGAGCUAUUGGGAUGUCCUGCCUGCAGAUAGGAGCUACCCACUUUGAUUCUCUUGAGAGCUGUACUGUUGCUCAAUAAAGCACCUCUUCGCCUUGCUCACCCUCCAGUUUUCUGUGUAUCUCAUUCUUCAUGGACAAGGGACAAGAGCUUGGGACCCACCAAAUGGCGGGCCUGAAAGAGCUAUAACACAAACAGGGAUGAAACACACCCCCCUACUUGCCAUAUUGCGGGCAACGAGAAAAAGAGAAAAUAGGAGAGAAGUGCUGCAGCCCUUUGGGGAACCCAGACCUAGGAGCUCCCCAAGCUAGGGGUGUGACACCCUCUUUGGGGCUCUGUGGUUCCUGGUGUCUCCAAGCUUCUGGGCACCACCACGUUACCCGGUGCCCACAGUGGAAGCUGCUUGCAGUAUACCUGGUCCAGCUGUAGCCCUGCAGGGAGCCGGUACCCAUGCCAGUUCCUGGAGCUGCCCACCCCACCACAGCUGGCAUGCUAGGCUGUGUGCAGUAGCCAGACUGCAUACUUGCUCACUCACACACCCAUUGCUGCUCUGUGCCUGGCUUGCCCUUGACAGGUGUGGGCUCUGGGCUGGUAGUGCAAGCUGAGCACAGCCCACCAGGCCAAGUGGGUAGAAUGAGCCCAGUAGGCCCAAGGAAAACUCAGAUAAAGGCGCCACUGGCCACAGAGGUUUCCUGCUGGCAAAGUGACACCCCAAGGAUCCUGAGACAUAUACAUGAGACUGUGAUAGAGCUGCCUGGUCUAUUCUAGUCCAUGGUCAAUUUUUUUGUUUCUGCACUAAUGUCAUAUUUUCUUAAUUAUGAGAGCUUUAUACCAAGUCUUGAUAUCUAAAAAUUAAGUUCUCCUACUUUUUUUCUUUUGAGGUUCUCUUGGCUUUUCUUGGCCCUUCAUGUUAUAUAUCCGUUAACUUUCAUAGUCAAUGGUAUGUUGAUCUAAAUAGGCAAGUUUUUCAUUAGUGGAAGCAGAACAUUCGUAGUAAAAAACUUUUAAAGAUUUUGAUUGUCAUAACAAAUGGCCCUCUGGCAUAGGUGAUACCAAUGUGUACUCCAUAAGGAGAUUGUAAUAAUAUUUGAAAUGGAAAAUGACUAUAUCAGACUAUAUGUGUGUUUUGUGAUUUAAUUUGGGGAAAAAUAUCUAUUUCAUGCCUCUAGUAUUUCUCAAAAAACAUGUUGAAUAUGAGUCUUAUUAGGUUUUGCUUGUUUGGUGAGUAAAAAUGCCAAGCCUCAUGAGAAGCAGAAUGUAUUUUCUCUUUUAUUGUAACUGCAUGUACAAUACCUGCUAUGGACUGAAUCGUGUCCCCUCCAAAUUCAUAUGUUGAAGUGCUAACCUCCAAUGUGGUAGUAUUUGGAGAUAGGGCCUCUGGGAGGUAAUUAGGGUUAGCUAAGAUCAUGAGGGUGGGCCCCCAUGAUGGAAUUAAUGGCUUUAUAAGGAGGGAGGGAGAAAGAGAUAGAUCGAUCGAUCGACUGAUAGAGACCGAUCGAUUGAUCAACCAAGAGAGAUCUCUUUACCACCUGAGGACAGAGAAGGUGGCUGCCUACAAGCUGCAAAAAGGGCUCUUACCAGGAACUGAAUCAGUGAGCAGCUUGAUCUUGGACUUCACAGCCUUCAGAACUGUGAGAAAUAAGUGCCUGUUGUUGAAGCCACCUAGCUCAUGGUAUUUUGUUAGAGCAGCUCAAGCAGACUAAUAAUAUAGUACCCAUGUGACUCUGAAUUUAGAAAAUAAUUGAUUAUAAGUUAUUCUGAAAAGAAGGUCUAUAUACACUUAAAAGCAAAGCAAAGUAAGAGUUUUUAAAAGUCUUAAAAGCAAACUGUAUGCAUAUGUAGUUUACAUAAGCAUUUCAAAAGAAUUCUCAGUUUUGGGUGCAUAGGGAUUGCUAUCAUAUUUUGCAAUGCUCAUGAGCCAGGAAUGGAAAUAUUUAACAUUAAGUUAAUAAGAAAAUAACAUGAAAAAGUUGUUUAGUGAGCUGGAGUCAGAGCUC